GGUGGGAUAAUGGUAUUAUGGUUAACGUUUUUUAAGGAGGCCAUAUCUUUUAGGAACACAUGCUUAAAUCCUUUUGGGUCAAAUGGUGUGAUGUCUGGGAUUAGCUUCAAAAUAAUCCAGGUGAAAAAAGGUAGGCGUAAGGGCCUAAAUGAAAAAAGAUUGGUCCUAAGUUGACAAUUGUUCAUAAUAUUAUUCUACUUUUGUAUAUGUUUGAAAUUAUCCAUAAUAAAAUGUUUUUCACAAAAAAGAUGGUUUGUCACCACUGAGGAUAGCAAAUCAAGACAUAAUUACAAAAGAGGUAUUUGAAAAUGUCUCAAGCAAUAGCAGUAUCCUUAAGAUACAUGAACAGAUUCCCCAGGUGAAUACUUUGAAGGAAACAACACUCGUUUAGAUGUAUCGGUCAUGAUCUGUUUGAUUGUUUUGAAAUCAGUUUUUUGGGGUAGGUGUCCAGAAACUAUAAGAAACUCUACUGAGCAGCUUACUGCAGAGUUCAAUAAAAAGAUCCAGUCCCUGACCUUUUAACACAUGUGCAAGGGGGCUCUUAUUAUGUGUCAGACACUGUGUGAGGUGUGAAGAUGAGUACGGCGUGGAGGGGGAGGCGGAGAAGUGUGGCGGGAUCAGGUGUGGCUGCCAGUGACCAGAACUUCAAAAUAAAAAUGCCUUGACAAGAUAGCAGUUUAUGUCCCUCUCAUGAGAAUAGAGUCCAGGGCUGGAACGGCACCUCCAUGAUCACUGUCAACUGCUGACUCCCCAAAUACCACCAGAACAGCCUGCCAACGAACCAAAGCUAAGGUGAUGAAGCCAACUGCAGGAGGGGAGAGCGUGGCCUUGACCAGAGGCAGUCCGGAGACUCUCUUGGUGUGUCAUAAGGGGCAGGGCCAGGUCACAAAACCCUCACGGGAGAGGUCCCUCCCUAUACCCGGAGGAAAGGAGCAUCUGGAUGUCCACAGAGAAGGGAAGCUGAAGAAUCCUAACAAACAGGCCUCGCUCACUGGACCCACCUCACUGCUCCACCUCACGCUCUCUGACUUUUCAUAUUUUUCCACGACUGUCCACUCUUCGUCAAACCCAGCACAAAA
rnacentral:lncRNA from 1 species